rnacentral:lncRNA from 1 species
ACCAUUCGUUUUUUCACAAAAUAAUAAAAGCUAUUACAUUUUACAGUGAGCGGAAAACCAAAAACAAAAGUGCAUAAGCACACCAAAAGUGAUCACAUAGUUUAAAAUUAUAAAGAUUGAUUUCCCAAUCUUUCAUUCCACAUAGACUGAGCUAGUUCAUCCCUCCAAGUGGUCCACUCAUCAGAUGCUUCAAUUGUAUUAAUAUUGUCAUGUUCAUGUUGAUUUUCCAUGUGGAAUUCCAUUUCCACAUCUAAUGGGUCAGCUUCCAUCUCUCUUCGAAUGAAAUUGUGAAUCAAACAACAUGCACUAAUAAUUCUAUUGUGAACCUUAACCGAGUACCACGAAGGACUUCUAAGAAUUCCCCAACGUCCUUUUAAUAGUCCAAAUGCUCUUUCAAUAACAUUACGCGCCCUAGCAUGCUUCAUAUUAAAGAGCUCUUCUCGACAUUGAGGUUUUUCAAUAACAUUACGCGCACUAGCAUGCUUCAUAUUAAAGAGCUCUUCUCGACAUCGAGGUGAUGGAUUGUCACC